CCUUGAUGCUGAAAUGGAAAGGGUCUCGCUGUGUUGCCCUGCCACAAGAUUCAAAGUGGCCCUCAAGUUUCACCCUUGAUGCUGAAAAUAGAGAAAGAGUCUCGCUAUGUUGCCCAGGAUGGCCUUUGAGGCCCCCCAAAGAUAACUAAGCCAUUUGCAGAAGUAACAUAGGGCACAAAAGUAGGGCCAAUACUUUUCCAUUUUCUAGCAUGAGUUGAGUUAACUUGUCCUGGGAACUCAAGCAAGGCCCUUAAUGUGCUGUUACAUUUAACCUCCAGGGUUACUGUGUAGAUAGCAACAGGAUAGCAUCAGUGGGAGUGUGUUUACACAGAACUUGGCGUGAAGUGACUUUGACAAGGACACAGAAAAGAUACGAUUAGAACCUGGGCCUACUCAUCAUCAAUGCUAAAAAGUGUUGUUUACCUCCUAGACUAAUGUUUUACAAACUACAAGGCACAACCAGAAAAUCAGUUCAGCAGGGUUGCGGAAUUGAAAUAAAUAGUAUAUUAAGGGCUGGGCGUGGUGGCUCAUGUCUG
rnacentral:lncRNA from 1 species